rnacentral:rRNA from 1 species
AUUGAACGCUGGCGGCAUGCCUUACACAUGCAAGUCGAACGGCAGCACGGGAGCAAUCCUGGUGGCGAGUGGCGAACGGGUGAGUAAUAUAUCGGAACGUGCCCAGUGAUGGGGGAGUAGCCCGGCGAAAGCCGGAUUAAUACCGCAUACGACCUACGGUGGAAAGACAGGGGAGUCGCAAGACCUUGCGUCAUUGGAGCGGCCGAUAUCAGAUUAG